UAGGGAAUAUUGGUUAAUGUGCGAAAGCGCGAACCAGCAACGCCGCGUGUGCGAUGAAGGCCUUCGGGUCGUAAAGCGCUUUUUGCAGGGAAGAGGAAGGACGGUACCUGCAGAAUAAGUCUCGGCUAACUACGUGCCAGCAGCCGCGGUAAAACGUAGGAGACGAGCGUUAUCCGGAUUUACUGGGCGUAAAGCGCGUGCAGGCGGCAUGGCAAGUUGGAUGUGAAGGCUCCCGGCUUAACUGGGAGAGGUCGGUCAAUGCUGCCAGGCUUGGGAGGGGUAGAGGGAAGCGGAAAUCCGGGUGUAGUGGUGAAAUGCGUAGAUAUCCGGAGGAAAACCAGUGGGGAAAGCGGCUUCCUGGCCCAUUUCUGACGCUCAGACGCGAAAGCUAGGG
rnacentral:rRNA from 1 species